UCACUGACUGAACAUCAGUCAAUAAAUCUGCAGUAGCCUGACUAAUGGCAUUUGUCUCUUUUGCUAACCAACAUCCUAAUCUAUUUAAUGUGGCUAAAGCCUUUGCAGCUGCCACUCCGGGUACUAGGAAAGAGGCAACAGUUCUUGUCCCCUGAUUCCAAAAUUCUGUGUUGUCCCUUGAUGCCUGUCCAGCUGAUGAUAAGGGAAAAAACCUCAGGAGGAGUUGAGGUUACCCUUGCAGGUGAUCAGCACCUCCUCUGACAAAGCACCGAAGGAGGAUUUAAAAAUUCCUUCAGGUCCCCACAUUGGACAAAUUACUUGCAGAGAGAGAACGUGGCAGCACAGAACUCUUCCCCGGCCCUUCCCUCCCUGGCUCCCAGCCUGCAAAGGGAGUGUCAGAAGUCAAAACCUACCAGCUUGUCAUCCUCCUGAGAGACUCUCUGCAG